rnacentral:rRNA from 1 species
AAAUUGAAGAGUUUGAUCAUGGCUCAGAUUGAACGCUGGCGGCAGGCCUAACACAUGCAAGUCGAACGGUAACAGGAAACAGCUUGCUGUUUCGCUGACGAGUGGCGGACGGGUGAGUAAUGUCUGGGAAACUGCCCGAUGGAGGGGGAUAACUACUGGAAACGGUAGCUAAUACCGCAUAACGUCGCAAGACCAAAGAGGGGGACCUUCGGGCCUCUUGCUAUCGGAUGUGCCCAGAUGGGAUUAGCUAGUAGGUGGGGUAACGGCUCACCUAGGCGACGAUCCCUAGCUGGUCUGAGAGGAUGACCAGCCACACUGGAACUGAGACACGGUCCAGACUCCUACGGG